rnacentral:rRNA from 1 species
CCUACGGGUGGCAGCAGUCGAGAAUCAUUCACAAUGGGGGAAACCCUGAUGGUGCGACGCCGCGUGGGGGAAUGAAGGUCUCCGGAUUGUAAACUCCUUUCAUGUGGGAGCAAAUUAAAAAGAUAGUACCACAAGAGGAAGAGACGGCUAACGCUGUGCCAGCAGCCGCGGUAAUACAGAGGUCUCAAGCGUUGUUCGGAAUCACUGGGCGUAAAGCGUGCGUAGGCUGUUUCGUAAGUCGUGUGUGAAAGGCGCGGGCUCAACCCGCGGACGGCACAUGAUACUGCGAGACUAGAGUAAUGGAGGGGGAAGCGGAAUUCUGGGUGUAGCAGUGAAAUGCGUAGAUAUCGAGAGGAACACUCGUGGCGAAGGCGGGUUACUGGACAUUAACUGACGCUGAGGCACGAAGGCCAGGGGAGCGAAAGGGAUUAGAUACCCUUGUAGUC